rnacentral:rRNA from 1 species
UACGAAGGGGGCGAGCGUUGUUCGGAUUUACUGGGCGUAAAGGGCGCGCAGGCGGCGCAUUUUGUCAGGCGUGAAAGCCCCGGGCUUAACCUGGGAACUGCGUUUGAUACGGAUGGGCUAGAGUUCGGGAGAGGAGAGUGGAAUUCCCAGUGUAGAGGUGAAAUUCGUAGAUAUUGGGAAGAACACCGGUGGCGAAGGCGGCUCUCUGGACCGAGACUGACGCUGAGGCGCGAAGGCUAGGGGAGCAAACGGG